rnacentral:rRNA from 1 species
GACGAACGCUGGCGGCGUGCCUAACACAUGCAAGUCGAACGAAGCUUUGAGGAGCUUGCUUUUUAAAGCUUAGUGGCGGACGGGUGAGUAACGCGUGAGCAACCUGCCUCUCAGAGGGGGAUAACGUUUUGAAAAGAACGCUAAUACCGCAUAACAUAUCGGAACCGCAUGAUUCUGAUAUCAAAGGAGCAAUCCGCUGAGAGAUGGGCUCGCGUCCGAUUAGUUAGUUGGUGAGGUAACGGCUCACCAAGACUACGAUCGGUAGCCGGACUGAGAGGUUGAUCGGCCACAUUGGGACUGAGACACGGCCCAGACUCCUACGGGAGGCAGCAGUGGGGGAUAUUGCGCAAUGGGGGAAACCCUGACGCAGCAACGCCGCGUGAAGGAAGAAGGUCUUCGGAUUGUAAACUUCUUUUGUCAGGGACGAAGAAAGUGACGGUACCUGACGAAUAAGCUCCGGCUAACUACGUG